rnacentral:misc_RNA from 1 species
UUUUUUUUUUUUUUUUGAGGGAAAGUUUUGGAAAUUUUACUUGUGUUCUUGGUCUCAAGUGUUCGUCUUGAAUAGUUGAAUCUGCCUAAAAAUUAGGGAUCUUUCAUUUGUGGAAUUAAGGUUUGGUCGUUUGAGAAGUGGAUUUGUUGUGUGUGUACAGUUUUCAAAUUAUUGAGGGCUGAAUUCAGUGGGUUUGACAACCAUAAUUGUAAUCUAAAUGUUAGUAAUUCUCAAUUUCUAAGUUUUCUAAAAUGUAAUUAAUAUUUUUUGAUCACUUAUCAUGUCCUUUUGUUUCAGAAGAAGGUAGUUUGAAAUUUAAAAUGACAGGUUUAUACAUGUGAAAGUUGCCAGUGUAUUUGCAAUUCAAAUGUAUUCUUAUGAAUCUGUUGAUGUUUCCUGUUUAGUAUAGCUCAGUUCAAAUUAUGCCAAAAUGCUAUAUGUUGUGUCUAUAUUAUAGUUUAAGAGCAUCUCCUUUUGUUGGAUAUGUUGGAUAAAUUCUUUUGCAAAAUCAACUUCCUUGUCCAUUUCACCUUUCUCAAAUGUUAUAUUUCAGUUGUCUAGUUAUAUGGUAAUCAACCGACAAAUGAUCACUGAAACCUUAUUAGGACAAGAAACUCAAUUACAAAGAAAGUUCUCUUUCCAUGGUUGUGCCCAAUCUCUGUUGCAGCUUACUUGAUAUAUUAGAAUUUGUCAUAUUCUGAGCAACUCAUUCCAGGUAAGCCAGGACAAUGGAUUCCAUGUUGCUGAACAUAUACUUGCAUGUGUUAUCUUUAAAUUGUUUAUUGAGAAAUUUGUCAAAUGCAAAACAUUUGAUGAUUUACAGAUUCUGUUAUCUGGUUAUGGGUCUUUUGCAAACUAAAAUAUACAAUUGUUUUAGUCUGCAAUCUGUGUUUCUGGGAAUUUCUACCUUUCUUUCCUAUUUUGGAAGUGAAUUAUUAACAGCUUGUUAAUGAGAGAACUCUUGGAGCUCUGAGUUUUAAGUAAACUCAACGUUGCUGAAAAUAUCACUUUUGCUUUCCUUCCAUGAUAACAAAUAAAUAAUACACUGAAUUCCCGAAACUAACUUGGUUACUACCCACACUUUAAGUGCCCAGAAACUAAGGAAAUUACCCACAAUAGCUGAGGAAACUGCCCACAAUUUAAGCAACAAAGAAAACUACCAAUAAGCAAUGCAGGAAAAGGAAAUAUAAACUACACUAAGGGAAACUGAACGGAUGCUAAAGGAAACUAACAAUUAACUCUGACUUCAUAACAGAGAGAAACUGUCUUUUACUCCAUGCGUUUGCCCAUAACAACAAAGUUGAGCUACUGAUCAUUCACUUGAUUUACUUUUUGCAAUGCAGUGUGCUUUUAACAAUAUUCAGGAGCAAGAGGAAUAUACGAUUUAAUGGCAUCUGAGAGAGAAGAUUUCAACCUCUCAGGACCCUUACACCUAAAUGUUGUUGAUUGGUAGGUUCUCACACUUGCUGAACAUACUUGAAAGAGACAGAGCCUCUUUCAAGUUUAUUCAAUUUAAAAUAAAAUAAAAAAUUCUAGGAUUUCUAAAGAUUGGAAGGUAAUAUGUAGGAAGCAUACGCUUAGUAACUAGACUUCCGGUGAGCUACAUUUGAUGCUUUCAUAUAAAUGUUUUUGAUAUUCCUCUCUAGCGUUCAUCAGCUCGUAUUUAUAGUCACAUGUUCGCCACAUAUAAAGAGAUGUAGAGCAGUCAAGCAUCUCCCACACGACGCCUCUGGUUGUUACAACAUUUUAGUGGAGAGAUUCAAUAACAAAGCCCUGAUAUAGUUGUAACUUCUAGCAACAUAGUGAUGGGAUUUUUUUUAUAUUUUCUUUCCGUUUUUGGUUUUAUAUAUUCGUUGUGGCAAUAUCAUGCAAUGCUGGGUAUUAACUUAUGCAGGACAAAUGCACAUCAUCGAAGGUCUGUAGCUGCCAGUUUGGUUCAGGGUGUCUACGUGCUGGAGCGGGAUCGCCAGCAGAAACAAGAAGGUCCAGAUGCUCUUGCAAAUCCUUGGUGGGAGUUCUUUCAUUUUCAGUUGCUUCGUAAACUUGUGGAUGAUGUUGAUUCCUCCAUUUUUGGUGCCAUUUAUGAAUAUAAACCUUCAUCAUCUUAUUCUACCCAUUCACUAGAUGAAGGCCCACGUUAUGUAAUUGCAUUCCGAGGCACUGUAACGCAGCCAGACUCCUUGUCACGGGACAUUGAGUUGGACCUUCACAUAAUCCGAAAUGGACUCCAUGAAACAUCUCGCUUUGAAAUUGGUAUCCAAGCAGUUAGAAAUGUGGUUGCUACUGUAGGCGAAUCGAAUGUCUGGCUGGCAGGCCAUUCCUUGGGGGCAGCAAUGGCAUUGCUUGCUGGAAAGACCAUGGCUAAGACGGGCAUCUUUAUUCAAGUAUUUCUCUUCAAUUCGCCAUUCUUCUCUGCCCCAAUAGAGAGAAUCAAAGAUAAACGGGUGAGACACGGAUUACGGAUUGCAAGCAGUGUGAUAACUGCUGGACUUGCCUUUACUGCAGCUGCAAAGAAGAAUAAUCAAAAUAGCCGGUCCGUAGAUCCAUUUGCUGCUCUCUCUGCAUGGAUACCAUCUCUAUUUGUCAAUCCGGCGGAUCACAUCUGCUCCGAGUAUAUAGGAUAUUUUGAACACAGGAAGAAGAUGGAUGACAUUGGCAUUGGAGCUAUUGAGAGGCUAGCAACGAAGAACUCGAUUGCUGGUCUUAUUAUGAGUGCAAUGGGCAAGGAAUCAGAGCCACUCCACCUCAUUCCUUCCGCAAAUCUGACCGUCAAUUUAACUCCAUCUCGAGAUUUUAAGGAAGCCCACGGAAUUCACCAGUGGUGGAGACCUGAUCUGGAUGUCCAAUCCAACCUUUACAAGUACUAAUAGCUUGGCGCAGUUGUAAUUUAAAUGCCUUUAUUUCUAUCUUGUAUGUGCUAUCGGAAGAUUAUCGUGGAAAAAUUGUCUCACCCUUCUGUGAUUAUAUGUCCUGAUUUCUUUUGCAAUUUUCUUCCCUGUUGUAGAAGGUUCCACUUAUCUAAUGCGUUCACCUCUUGGUUAUUUGGUGCCAUUGGAGUACUAGGCUAGUGAUUAU